rnacentral:rRNA from 1 species
UACGUAGGGUGCAAGCGUUAAUCGGAAUUACUGGGCGUAAAGCGUGCGCAGGCGGCUUUGCAAGACAGAUGUGAAAUCCCCGGGCUUAACCUGGGAACUGCAUUUGUGACUGCAUGGCUGGAGUGCGGCAGAGGGGGAUGGAAUUCCGCGUGUAGCAGUGAAAUGCGUAGAUAUGCGGAGGAACACCGAUGGCGAAGGCAGCCUUCUGGGCCAACACUGACACUCAUGCACGAAAGCGUGGGGAGCAAACAGG